rnacentral:lncRNA from 1 species
ACUUUUUUUUUGUUUUUUAAGGAAAAAAAAUAUUCACCAACAAGUACAAAUGAUGCAUAUAUUUCAUGAAAAACAUCAAAAGACAAACUCAAAAUUAUUAAUGUACUAAUAAUUUUAUUUCAAAAACAAACUAAACCAUUUACAAUUGUUCAUGAAGAGUUUUUAUAUUUUGAUAACGGUUUACAACCUUUUCAUUUUGAAUUUCACGAAGUAUAUUUUUCUCAAUAUAAGUAACUAAAUAAUUAUUCAUCCAAGUGUCUUUCAUUCUAUU